rnacentral:rRNA from 1 species
UGAGGAAUAUUGGUCAAUGGGCGCGAGCCUGAACCAGCCAAGUAGCGUGAAGGAUGAAGGUCCUACGGAUUGUAAACUUCUUUUAUAAGGGAAUAAAGUCACCCACGUGUGGGCGUUUGUAUGUACCUUAUGAAUAAGCAUCGGCUAACUCCGUGCCAGCAGCCGCGGUAAUACGGAGGAUGCGAGCGUUAUCCGGAUUUAUUGGGUUUAAAGGGAGCGUAGGUGGAUUGUUAAGUCAGUUGUGAAAGUUUGCGGCUCAACCGUAAAAUUGCAGUUGAAACUGGCAGUCUUGAGUACAGUAGAGGUGGGCGGAAUUCGUGGUGUAGCGGUGAAAUGCUUAGAUAUCACGAAGAACUCCGAUUGCGAAGGCAGCUCACUAGACUGCAACUGACACUGAUGCUCGAAAGUGUGGGUAUCAAACAGGAUUAGAUACCCUGGUAGUCCACACAGUAAACGAUGAAUACUCGCUGUUUGCGAUAUACAGUAGGCGGCCAAGCGAAAGCAUUAAGUAUUCCACCUGGGGAGUACGCCGGCAACGGUGAAACUCAAAGGAAUUGACGGGGGCCCGCACAAGCGGAGGAACAUGUGGUUUAAUUCGAUGAUACGCGAGGAACCUUACCCGGGCUUAAAUUGCAUUUGAAUAAUCUGGAAACAGGUUAGCCGCAAGGCAAAUGUGAAGGUGCUGCAUGGUUGUCGUCAGCUCGUGCCGUGAGGUGUCGGCUUAAGUGCCAUAACGAGCGCAACCCUUAUCUUUAGUUACUAACAGGUCAUGCUGAGGACUCUAGAGAGACUGCCGUCGUAAGAUGUGAGGAAGGUGGGGAUGACGUCAAAUCAGCACGGCCCUUACGUCCGGGGCUACACACGUGUUACAAUGGGGGGUACAGAAGGCAGCUACCUGGCGACAGGAUGCUAAUCCCAAAAACCUCUCUCAGUUCGGAUCGAAGUCUGCAACCCGACUUCGUGAAGCUGGAUUCGCUAGUAAUCGCGCAUCAGCCAUGGCGCGGUGAAUACGUUCCC